GUCGCGUUCGCACGGAGCGGUUGCGUCGCGUGGCGUGCGUGGGACAUACGACGAUCGCGAGCCCGUGCGUAGUGUUUCGCUUCCCGUAGGACUGAACUGUUGCGUUAGUAGUGAGGACCGGUGACACACGCUUCCGAGUGACCUUUUUUGUCGCCGUAGGUGGGACUGUGUUCUUCAAAUCUGCGCUCGUUUCUCGGAGGUGAUAGCAUGUGGUGAGCUCGCUUCCAGGUCUGUGUUUACAAGAGCGCUGGUGGCAACGCCCUGAGAUGUCUGCUGACCUUUCCCAGACUGCUUGAACAGAGGUAAGGAA